UACGGAGGGGGCGAGCGUUGUCCGAAGUUACUGGGCGUAAAGCGCGCGUAGGCGGGGAAUUAAGUGGGAGGUGAAAGGCUGAGGCUUAACCUCAUGCAGUGCCUCUCAUACUGGUUCUCUUGAGGGCGGUAGGGAGAAGUGGAAUGGCUGGUGUAGCGGUGAAAUGCGUAGAUAUCGUGAGGAAGACCAGUGGCGAAGGCGGAUCUCUGGACAGUUCCUGACGCUGAGGCGCGAAGGCCAGGGGAGCAAACGGG
rnacentral:rRNA from 1 species